rfam:Candidatus Magasanikbacteria bacterium RIFCSPLOWO2_02_FTLL_44_11 rifcsplowo2_02_scaffold_18153, whole genome shotgun sequence.
GUCCUCGUAGUCUAAUGGAUAUGACGCUAGCCUCCGAAGCUGGAAGUCCAGGUUCGAUUCCUGGCGGGGACA